UAGAGUGGCGAACGGGUGAGUAACACGUGACCAACCUGCCUCUUACAUUGGGACAACCAAAAGAAAUUCUGGCUAAUACCAAAUACUCCGCACAUAUCACAUGAUGUAUGCGGGAAAGCUUUUGCGGUAAGAGAUGGGGUCGCGGCCCAUUAGGUAGACGGCGGGGUAGAAGCCCACCGUGCCGAUGAUGGGUAGCCGGGUUGAGAGACCGACCGGCCACAUUGGGACUGAGAUACGGCCCAGACUCCUACGGGAGGCAGCAGCG
rnacentral:rRNA from 1 species